AUUGAACGCUGGCGGCAGGCCUAACACAUGCAAGUCGAACGAGUGGCGGACGGGUGAGUAAUGUCUGGGAAACUGCCUGAUGGAGGGGGAUAACUACUGGAAACGGUAGCUAAUACCGCAUACCAUCGGAUGUGCCCAGAUGGGAUUAGCUAGGAGGUGGGGUAAAGGCUCACCUGGGCGACGAUCCCUAGCUGGUCUGAGAGGAUGACCAGCCACACUGGAACUGGGACACGGUCCAGACUCCUACGGGAGGCAGCAGUGGGGAAUAUUGCACAAUGGGCGCAAGCCUGAUGCAGCCAUGCCGCGUGUAUGAAGAAGGCCUUCGGGUUGUAAAGUACUUUCAGCGAGGAGGCGUUACUCGCAGAAGAAGCACCGGCUAACUCCGUGCCAGCAGCCGCGGUAAUUC
rnacentral:rRNA from 1 species